GGGUCAAAACAAGGCCCAGCAAUCACAGACAACUGUUCUUUCCACUGAGUCUCCGCCACAUUCCUCAAAGCCCUGUGCACCCGAUCCACACACCAGCAUAGCUGCACAUUCACGGGGGAAAGGAGCCUAAUUUCAGAACAGCUGCGGCUUCUUCACUGAGCCCCUCGUAUAAACUUUCCCAGAGGCCCUGACAACCAGAAUAUCAAAACUCCAGGAAGAAGUUGAGUAAACAGGUCACAGUUACCUAAAGUGGCACUCAGCCAAGCCACCUGUGCCAACAGAGAUCCAGGGGCUGAAUGACCUCAACUGCUCCAGACCGGAACAAGGAGAAACUUUGCUGCAGCAACAUAAUUGGGCCACUAGAGCCCUAUGCGCAAAGGCAAGGGUCAGAACGACACCCCAAAGCACGUCCUUACCUAGAGCUGUGGGUGUAAAUGCCGAGACUCAGACCAACCUCAAGAGGAAGAACCUCCGUUGCUGUCACCCUGGUCCAAGCCGCCAUCAUCUCUCACCUCAGUUGCUGGAAGGACUCCUCCUGGGUGCCUGUUUCAACUCUCGGUCCCUUACAGUCCACAGGGGAGCUGGAGAGAUACUUUUAAAAUAUGUCAGAUGAUGGCCCUUCUCUGCUGCAAGAAACCAAUGUCCUUUCACUGCCCUAAAAGACCCUACACGUUUGGAUCCCCCGGCAGCUCUGCCUUCAUCUAUGGCCUCUUUCCACCUAGCUCACGUGCUCCAGCCACGCCGGCCUCCUCAUCGGUCCUGACCAGGACCACCUUUGCCUCCUGGGUUUCCUCAGGUGCAGCUCCCUCAGCCUGGGGAACUCCUUUCUGAGAUGCAUUCAUGACUCACCCACCUCCUCAGCUCCUUCAGGCCUUUUCUCAAAUUUCAACUUCUCAAGAAGCUCUGCACCAUCUAAAAAUUGCAAAUGUAUACAACCCUUCUCUAAACUGCUCUAUUUUUCUCGUAUCACUUAUCCCUUUCUAAGGUUAUAGUUAAGCACAUAUACAUACAUAAAAUGCAUUUAUUAUGUAUUAA